AUCCCAUUGAUGAGUCCCAAAUAGGACGAAAUGCUCAUCCUAGAU
rnacentral:hammerhead_ribozyme from 1 species